rnacentral:snoRNA from 1 species
GUUGAGGCUAGAGUCCACACUUGAGUAUUGCUAUUGCGUUAGUGUGCUAGAGUCCUUGAAGAAUGAAUGCUGACUUUAUUCACUGGCUGCAGGCCUCAUGGCACAGUCAGUCCCCAGGUUAGUGACAUGC